rnacentral:rRNA from 2 species
ACUUGGUGUGAAUUGCAGAAUCCCGUGAACCAUCGAGUCUUUGAACGCAAGUUGCGCCUGAAGCCAUUAGGUUGAAGGCACGUCUGCCUGGGCGUCACGC